GUGUGAUGCUAGCUUUGGAUAACAAUCCAUUGAGCAGACAUGGCUGCAGCGGUUGAGAAAAACCAUCUACGCUUCCUUAAAUUAGCCAGACUCCUCUUCACUAACCCUCCCAGCUUCUGCAAGUGCCAGGCAGGGUAUCCCUCUCCCCAGACCACUACCAGGUACUGCAGCUCCUCCAGAUGCCAAUGUCUGACACAGAGACUAGCACAAGAAGAUCUGCAGGACAGAAGUUUCACAGUAGCAGGAUCGUUCACAGACCUAUUCAGCAAACCUGGAGAUGGAAAGGAGGAGAGAACUGAGGUUAGUAGAGGACAGAAAUGGGUUUGAAAUAGAGAUGGCAAAAGAUUUUAAGUAAAGGAAGGAAUGGAUUUAGUGCCAUCUUUCACUGAAAAAUAAGACCCCUCCCUCAGCAGGAUACUGUACACUCUGGCAGCUAUAUCACAACACUGCUUUUUGACUUUAGUCUCUCUCUUACACAACAGUUGUUACUUCAAUUGUUCACUUCCCCUCCCCCCCCAUUAAAGAUACAACUCAUACCCCCAUUCCUUCUGAAUACAGUCUUAUCCUUUAUAGUAGAUUGGUUGUUUAUCCUUCACUUGUCUAUAACUAUUAUACCUGGAUAUCCAAGGGUUGGGAGGCUGCUUUCAGAACACAGUCCAUUGGUUGAAGCAGAACACUCAGAGCUUGGAUCCUUACUGCCUGUGGGCUUCAAAAGGAAGAAGUAGCAGUGACAGACAACACUUCAUUCUCCCUGAGUAUCUGCCCUCAAAUUCUGAUUAGUUAAUAAACCAAUUCACAGGAGUAUAUUCUUUCAGCCUUAAAUCAGCCGGGCUGUGGAGAGUAACACGUUGCCAUGUGGGGAUUCAAGCUCUGUCCCCUUCCUUGCUAAGCUAGGGGAGGAAGGAGAAAGUCCUUGUGGUUUUCAAACACGUCACUGCAGUAAAGCUAACUGAUUUUGGUGUGAUUUUCCAAGGGAGAGGGACCGUAAAGGGACAGAAUCCUGCGUGAUCUUCUUCCCAUCAAACAUUCAUUCUCAGAGUAUAGGCAUUACUAACCUGCAACACUGGAUCAUAUGCACCCAGUAAUACCUCUCCUAUUUACAAUAACCUAAAUUAAUUGCUCCUCACAUUGCUGUUUAGGUAGAAGUCCCUAGAGCAACAAUGGUGAUUUCUGCUGGCAAGCAUGAGUGUACUUCUAUUAGACCAGCAUGUGAAGGGGAAGGAAAUAGAGGGGGAAGUGGUGUUUGACUUGCACUCAAGAUAAUGCCUACUCUGACCAUUAACUUUGGCACUAGGAGCAAAAACAAAAGUUUGCCAUUCCGAACCUAGAGCUGUUGACUGUAGUGGGAUUUGGCAUGUACAGGGCAUUUGUUUCUCCUGUUCCUCGUUGUUUGGACUGGACUGUCAAACCAUCAGCAUCUGGCUCCUGGACACUUUUUCUGUACCAACCUUACCAUGGCAGUGAGUUGCAAGCACCACAAAGUUUCUCUCCUCAUUCAGAAGAACACUGCAAUCAAAAGGAACUUGACAACUUAUUAAAAGAUUUGCAAUAAUAAUCCAAGAUAAACCUUUUUAAAGUUUGAUACCACAAUUCAUACCAUUCCUGAAGCUUCAGCACUCCCCCUGCCAACGACCAACUGGGUUUAAGUUGCUCCGAGCACAGUCACUGAUGUCCACAGGCUACAUUCAGGGCAGCUAAACACAGGAGAUCUGAAAGAAAGAAGUGUUAACAUAUUUUUGUGUACCACACCCUUGGAAAAGACCACCACAUAUCUUGUAACAUUUUGGACAGUAUUGCAUGAAUCCCAUUCCUAAUCGGUCUUUACCUUGUCAUGCUAAGGAAAAGGUCCACCAGUGAGUGCCCGGCAUGGACUGGCUCCUCCUCCAAGAUAUACAAUUGGCUCUGAUAGUUUGGACCACAAGUACUUCAGUCCACAGAUCGUGACAGCAUCCCACACACUCUGCAGCUUCAAGGAUUUUGAUACGAGAGCAGAGUUGAUUUAAGGACUCUUCAUGUGCACUACAACUUUUGAGCACAUAUUGGCCAAUCACAGUCCUUUAUAUUUACAGGUUUUCGUCUGGAAUGAUUGUUAGAGAGAAGGUGAGCAUGUGCACUAAAGCUGAUUGGCCUGAAGCCACAAACAAGCUGGGGUCUCCCUGCCAGUGAAGAUCACAUCUAUGGCUCCUAUGUCAAGUACAAAACAAACACGCCAUGACACUCAAAGAAACAGGAGUUUUGUUGUAACCUGAACUUCAUUGCAAUCCAAUCACGUGCAUCCUACUUCGAGUACCUCACACAAUUAAAAUGUCAAUUAAAUGAAAACACAACUAAUGUUACAUAUGAACGACUGAGAAUCAUCUAUCAAUCAUUGCCCAUAGGGGUUGAAAAAGGAUACAAUGACAAUGCUGCAUUGUAAAAUUCUGUUUUCCCAACUGUAAGAUUAUAGGGGACUGUGAUAGGCAGCUUAUGAUCUCCCGCCACAUAUUGCUGGCAUACUACCACUUAUUUAUCCCAGGAUGUGUUUAAACUGUGAUUUAAAGAGAAUGAUAGAAUCUUCAGGGUGGAGCUGACAGCUGGAGAGGCUAGAUUGACCUAGUUUCAAUUCUCUGUAUAUGUUAACUAGGUAUCUAAUAAAGCUGUCAGUUACUAGCCUUAUUAUUAAGCUAGUGGAUUACUUGAAUAUAAAACACAAUAGGACUGCUCACAUUGAGUAAAAUCUGCAAGCCCAAUUAAAAUCUGUGGCAAUGAAACCUGGGUUAAUUUCCCUAGAGUCACUAAUCCUGAACUAUUCUAAUAGACUCAAUAAGAUUUUGGUGGCUUUCUAAUGCUCUAUUUUUACUUUGCCUAUUGGGUGUGUAUUUCUUCCUCCAACAUGGAUGCUAUUUAUUUUUUUUUUAUAUUGAGGAACCUUAAUACAUAUGUAGUGUAACAAAAUAAAGCAAUACAAUUAACUUU